UCGUGCUCGUGCUCGUGCUCAAGCCUAAUACAUGCAAGUCGAGCGGCAGCGGAAAGUAGCUUGCUACUUUUGCCGGCGAGCGGCGGACGGGUGAGUAAUGCCUGGGAAAUUGCCCAGUCGAGGGGGAUAACAGUUGGAAACGACUGCUAAUACCGCAUACGCCCUACGGGGGAAAGCAGGGGACCUUCGGGCCUUGCGCGAUUGGAUAUGCCCAGGUGGGAUUAGCUAGUUGGUGAGGUAAUGGCUCACCAAGGCGACGAUCCCUAGCUGGUCUGGGAGGAUGAUCAGCCACACUGGAACUGAGACACGGUCCAGACUCCUACGGGAGGCAGCAGUGGGGAAUCUUAGACAAUGGGGGCAACCCUGAUCUAGCCAUGCCGCGUGAUCGAUGAAGGCCUUAGGGUUGUAAAGAUCUUUCAGCUGGGAAGAUAAUGACUGUACCAGCAGAAGAAGCCCCGGCUAACUCCGUGCCAGCAGCCGCGGUAAUACGGAGGGGGCUAGCGUUGUUCGGAAUUACUGGGCGUAAAGCGCACGUAGGCGGACCAGAAAGUCAGAGGUGAAAUCCCAGGGCUCAACCUUGGAACUGCCUUUGAAACUCCUGGUCUUGAGUUCGAGAGAGGUGAGUGGAAUUCCGAGUGUAGAGGUGAAAUUCGUAGAUAUUCGGAGGAACACCAGUGGCGAAGGCGGCUCACUGGCUCGAUACUGACGCUGAGGUGCGAAAGCGUGGGGGAGCAAACAGGAUUAGAUACCCUGGUAGUCCACGCCGUAAACGAUGAAUGCCAGACGUCGGGCAGCAUGCUGUUCGGUGUCACACCUAACGGAUUAAGCAUUCCGCCUGGGGAGUACGGCCGCAAGGUUAAACUCAAAGGAAUUGACGGGGGCCCGCACAAGCGUUGGAGCAUGUGGUUUAAUUCGAAGCAACCC
rnacentral:rRNA from 1 species